UAUAGAAUUAUCGGCUAUCGCUUUUUGGGGCAGUGAAAUUUUCCAAUGCUGCUAUAACUAUACAAGUAUUCCAGGGGUAUAGAAUUAUCGGCUAUCGCUUUUUGGGGCAGUGAAAUUUUCCUGGAGCUCUGCCAUCCCAUGCACCCUCUGUUGUGCUAUUACUUCAUGCGCGAAUGUUUAUUCGGCUGAAAUCUUUACCGUUUUUUUUUUUGUCAGAAUGGCUUUGUUUUCUAAAAAUUUUGCUCUUGCUUUUCCUAUUUUUGUUGGUAUUUGUCAACCCCCCCACACUUUAAAUAUCAAAAAGUCUAUCCCUUAACAUAAUAUAAACACACAUUUGCAUUUUUCUAGAAUAACCCGGUCAUGCCUAUCGUAAAUAGGGACAUUCGCUAUAAAUCACGACAAGUGUCCCAGUUUUGUAAAUGAUACUAAUACUCAGACAAUAUAAUUCACUGAUUAUCGAACCUGGCUAAUAUUUCUCCUACCUCAUAUCUUUAAACCCUAAGCAUUUAAAUACAUCUUCUAGUGACUUUAAAUAAUACAACACACGCACAUGAAUAUUGGCCCUUCUUAUCGCGCUGUUUUUGACACUAAUGACUAAUGAGAGAGAGUUUAAAAAUUGAAAUAUCUUAAAAAUUGCUUUGACCAUCCACAAUGUGCUAUCACAUUGUAUUAUUUCCUUUGUUGAUAACAUUUAUUAUUUUAUUCACAUAAGUGCAAAGUAAACAACAAUAUCUAUUUAUGCUAUCAUAUGUAAAACCCGCCCCUACAUUGCCAAAAAAAUAAUUGGCGUCCCAACAAUAUCCGUUACAAUAACAUUAACAAUACUUAUAACAUGAUAACUAUCACGACCAGAGGAGCUUAUUUCCUCAGCUAUGCAUAAUACAGCUUGAUAAAGAGUGGUCAGUUCUUACAAAAGCUCAUCACACCGUCUUUGAUAAACUUGAUAAAGUUACUUUCAUCUUGCAAAAUAACUUCAGGAAUGCUUCCCAGUUUUAUUUGACGAGUUAGUAUACAAAUGGUGCACUGGGGUAGUAGUGCGUUACUCCCUAGGGGGUCUGUAGCGCAUAUUGCUAAUCGAGCAUACUUUACGAAGUCCUCAUUAGCAACCUAGCGAAAAACAACUGACGAAGGUCUCUUCAUUAAGAGUCCGAAACCGGUCUUGUAAACGCUAUAACCGCCCGCCGAUUUUUCUUCAAACGAUGACAUCGGAAGGCACCUUAGACGAGAUGAGCGAGCCCUCAGAAAAAGCCAGAUUUAGCCAAAGUGCACUUUGAAUUCUACCAGUUACAGUGGCGAUUCUCGGCAGCCUCAAAUCUUCCUGUUUGAUUUUAAGAAAUCUAUUAAAACAGGAGUGAGCUGUACUGCAGAUAUGUCCUAAAUAACUCUAAGAAACUUAACAUGCACAAAGAAAGCGCUUAUGUCAGGUCGAGCAACGCUCCUAUAGACGUGAAACAUUAAAGAACGACAAAUUCCACCACAAAGACAUAUAAUAUGUCUCCUAAGGCUUUUGUCACCUCAUAAACCACGUCUAGCGUAUAUGGUCCUCCGUAGAUCUAUUUCUGCGGCAUAUAACGCUUAAGCAAAAGUGUAAUCUCAAAGACACUACGCACUUUAUUUACUUCAUCAAAAGUAUAUAAAAGGGCGAAAGAUUCAUUGAUUUAAAUAUCUUUGAUGUCCAUAGCUUACUGAAACUUUUCAGUACACGCAUUCUCUUCUCUUGCCACCCUCUUAGUUAUAAGAAGGGUUUGUGUCUAGGGAGAUGGCCUACGUCCGUUGAGAACAAAUUUCCCACUUGCCACCUUCUAAGCAGAAAUCCGCAACGGUUACGGGAUUUCACAACAUACAUAACGGCGAGUGUUCAAUUCACGGACAGGCAAAAUGCGUUUUGAGGCAAACAUGGCAUCUAAUAAACGAAUCUUAACAUUUUGUCAUGAGGUUCCACCCGGCUAAACAGAAUCUUCUAAAGAUUCUUAUAAAAAACUGGCAACUUAUCACGGAUCUCAGCCUCAUACGGCUAGAAUUUUUAAUGAACCUAUAGUCUCUUAUAGAAAGGAGAAACCGCUUAUAGACUUUUAAGUCAGAGCGACAAUCUCCCAUAAAGGACUAGGUAUCAAAGCAGAUUUAUUUACAAUUGUGGCGGGUGUGGCUGUUGGCAAUAUUACACAACAAUUCCCUGCCCUCAUCGUGAUGAAUUCUGGAUGGAAACCCGAACCGAGGUAUUAAAUCAUCAUAGAUCUUCUUCGCCACCGUCGGGGCCGACUUGUUUCUUGUUGGGUAGGCCUGACAGAAUCUUGUUAAGUGGUCCACGAAAAGCAAGAUGUACACAUUUCCACGGGAACUUUUCUCUAGAUGGAGGAAAUCAAUGGCAAUAAUCUCCAAGGGUGCAGCUCUUCAUAAACUAGCGAUUUUAAUUUUGAUGGGAGGACCAACUGUCUUUUUGUCUUUGUUUCUCGCCAAAGUGUUCCGUCGCCAUGGUUAUGGAGCCUACUCAGUUGCCUUAAGAGUACGUACUUCGCUGUCCCAAUACUUCCGGUCCUUAGGGGAUGGAUGCAGUCCUUUCAGCUUGUACUCCAUGACUUUCUCGAUAACCGGGUCCUCUUGUUGGUGUUUUAGUAUCUCAUUUGGCGUCAUUUUUUGAAUCGUAGUUGCGUCGUAAUUGGUUCCGCGCUUACUUCGCCAUACCUUGAGGUGACUGUGUUGACCCACGGACUAUUGUUUUCUCGGUCUUCACUCAAAGGCUGCAUCGCUGCCAUCACACUCGCUCUGUCCAUUUCUUCAGUGCAACAGGUCAUCAAUUCUUCCGGCUCUAGUGGUAGUCUAGACAGCGUAUCUGCGUCGAUGUUCAUCGUCCCCGGGCGGUACUUGAUAGUGAAGUUAUAGUCCGCUAACUCCGCUACCCACCGGUGACCUGUUGCGUUAAGCUUAGCCGUGGUUAACAUAUAGGUCAAUGGGUUGUUGUCUGUGUAGAUUGUGAAUGAAGGCGCAUAGCAAAGGUAGUCUCGAAACUUCUCCGUAAUGGCCUAUUUAAGAGCGAGGAACUCUAGCUUUCCUGCGUGGAGGUGAUAGUUCCUCUCUGCGGCCGUUAAUGUCCUUAAAGCAUAUCCCAGAACCCUGAGACCGAAUGUUUGCUGCUGAUAAAGUACGGCGCCGAGACCGUCUUUAGACGCGUCAGUAUGCAAUAUGAAAGGCUUCUCUGGAAAGUCUGGAAAGGCCAUAACAGGCGGGGAUGCCAGCUGGGAAAUCAGAAAUUCAAGUUUCUGCUGGUGACACGGAAGCCAGUUAACUGGAUGCUUGUGUUCUUACCUGACACAGACUUUCUUCUCUGGUACAUCUGGUCCUGGACUUCCUCGGGGGGUGACAGUAAGUCGUACAGUGAUUUGGCAUGACGCGAGAAGUCCUUUGAUAUACUGUCGAUAAUAUCCAAGGAAACCCAGAAUCUUUCUCAGCUCGCCCACAAUGGCUGGCCUUUUCUCUAUCAGUGCAUUGAUAGCAGCUGUGUCCGCCGGAUCCAUACUAUAACCACUUGCUGAUAUGAUUAUCCUAAUGCUGAUAUGAUUCUCCUAAGUAUCUCACCUUUCGCCUAAAUAGUUCGCAUUUAGACGGUUUUAGUUGAUACCGUGCUUCUUAAGGUUAAUUAAUACCUGCUUUAUAUCAGCCAAAUGCUGGGAAAACGUCUUUCUAUAUACCAAUACAUCGUCCAGGCAUUCUGAUUCUAUUUCUUGGGAUGCCAAUAAUACUUUCUGUCUCAGAUCAAGCAAAAUGACAAGAAAAUCUUGAGGGGACUCACUAGAGGCUUGGACGGCUGUUGUCAGCUGUGAAUACAGCUCGGUGGCACUUUUCUCCUGGUAAUGUGCCCUCAACAUUCUUCUUGUCUGGACUAAAUUCAAACCCUGUUUACCCGUUCUCAAACAAAGACCUGGGUUAACUGCUUUUCUGACAGCUCCCAUAAUUUCUUUCUCAGUAUACCCAUUACUUGUGCCUGCUUUAAUUUGAUGUACUAGACUUGAAAAGCUGAGGUGAUCUUUAUUGAGCCUAUCUGACCGGCAAUCUUAAACUCUCUUCGCAUAGAAAACUGAGGCUUUCAUUCAACAAAUUCUUCACUGCUUCCAAAAUAGCCUGUAAUUUAUCAACUUCCAAUUCCUCCUUGUCCAGGUAAUUGGUAAUUGCCUGUAUUACUUGUAAUGGAUUUCUCUUCCGGUCGCCUUUACUGAUAUAACACAUUUUUUUAUAACUUUAUUGUCUGUAUUACACCGUAAAAACUUGAUCCGGCUAUAUCAGGGGAAAUCGUCGUGCGCGUGUUUGAUCGUUCGAUUCCUAUACGAUUAUUCGGGGCUUAGCACUGUUUUGCUCUAGUUUUAUCAGGUUACAGAGUUAAUUAAUAUAUAGAUUUAGGCACUGCCUAAAAGCGGAGCCAGCAUGACUUUUUUUCAGCAUAAACUUGUGUAGAAUCCCCCUUCCCUGCACUUUCAUUAUGCAUAAUGUUCCUCCACCCACAAAAACGGCACAAUAUGUUAAACAUAUAAAGAUUGCAUGUUCUAUAAAUACUGCAAUCAUUAUUAAAAGGUGUCCGUCUAGGGAAUAAAAGCAUUUAUUGACAUUACUAAGGAUAUCAUUAACUAAACUAUACUUGAUAGACAACUGAUACAGCAAAAUUAGCAAAAUAAAUUUAUGCUUUGAUUAACAGGGAAGGCUUUCAGGUGUGAAGGGAGGUCAUAUUUAUUUUAAAACGAGGAUCAAUUAUAAAAGUUUCUCACAAAAAACUGGGUGCUAUUUUAUUCUCUACAAAAUUAAAAACAAUAAACAAAUACAUUACAAAUUGCUAUACAUUAAGUAUAUCAGCAAAUCACACAUAGUGGAUUUGAGGUAAAAGUACUCAUUCCCUGCCUGUACUGUCCCAAUUUCUUUUACUUUUUUAAAUUACUUUACUUAACUUGCAAAGAUAGGGCUUUAUCAUUUUCUUAUUCUUGAGUAAGUUUUAAAGUAAGCAAAUAUUAGAAAAAUAUCUUCAACCUUCUCUCUUAUGCUUUAAAAUGUAACUUUGCUAAGGGUGAAUUAAAGCUAAAACAUAAUAAGAAUAGGAACAUCCACAAAAUAUUAAAUGCAUUCUUCGCAUCCCUUACGUGAAUGUUUGUGUUAGUUAAUUUACCUUCACACAAUUGAUAAUACUUUGCUAAAAUAGUAUAUUAGUGUUAAUGUAAUGUUAUUUACCUAGAAGUAACGUAAAGUAAACACUUAAGGAUACUGUAGACCCGAGCGGUAAUUACCCCGAUCGUCCCGGCAAAACGCGCUUAAUUUUAAGUGCUUUUGUCUGGUCCAAAGUGCUUAAACUUAAACAAGAGGUAAAAAACCUGAAAAGAAAACUCAAGGUGAGUUUACACCGUGUGAUUAUGCUGAAGUUGCAAUACUUAUGACAAAAACGAAAUGGUUGUUAUUGGUUAAACGGCGGCUUCGAUAUUCUGAAUCCACUCCCUGGAUAUGAGGAAUUUGGCUCUCAAACAUAGGAAAUAUUUAGGCACAAAUUCAAAUUAUGUCAUUCGGUACUUUUCUCCUGCCCGGCCUGGAUUUUAUGAUUUUGGUAAUUAUGUAUCAUAUAUUAGUAGCCGAAUGCAGUGAAUAUAACACUAUCAGCAAGUAGUUUUGGAUUUUUAAAGGCUGUUACUGUGCGGUUUUUGCACAUUGUAAUAGUCCUCUCCGCUGUUAUCACAUAGAGAAUAUUAAGUGUUCUUUUUUGUAUUUUUAUAGGUUUACAAAGAUGUUCCUGCAGAGGAUCAGCCCAGUCCAGUGUCACAACAAAAGCAGAAAAUUAAAUAUCUGUCAAAGCCCCUGGAAGGGGUGAAGAGGCUCCUGUCAGACCUCUUUACCGAAGAAGAGCUCAUGCGGUGCACACUGAAGGGGAA